UUUGUUUAUAAUCUUGUUAGAAAGUUUAAUGUUUAAGGUUAUUAGAAAAAUAAUUUGAAAUUAAAGUAGUUUUUAUCGAAAUAUAGUAAUAACUAUAGUUUAUAAGUACUGUAAGGGAAAGAGUAAUUAAAUUUAAAAUUUACAUAGUAAGUUUAAGUUUCUGUACCUUGGGUAUUAGGGAAAAUCAAUAUAAGUUAAGAAAUUUAAUUAUCUCGAAGCAAGAACAGUUAAUUUUAUAAAAUUCUUUUUGUAGCAUAAGAAUAUUAAAUAUAUAAUUAAAGGUGAAAUAUCAAUCGAGUCUUGGUAUAUCUAGUUUUUUUAAAUAUAAAUUUAAUUUAAGUCUUUGAUUUAAUAAAUCUAAGAUUAAAUUACAGGAGGGAGAAGCUUCUUGUAUAAAUUUAAUUAAAAAGUUUAGUAUAAGUAUUAAAAUUUGGACUAAGCUUAAAAGUAGCUAUGUUUAUAAAGUGUUUUAACUAAAUAUGAAAGUAAAAAUAUUUAUAUUUGCUUUUUGUAGUUAUAAAAAAAUUAAUUUUAACAUAACAAGUAAAAAUAUAAUGAAGUUAUUAGUAAAGUGAUAUUGUUAGAAAUAAAAAAUUGAAUAUUGAAAAUGUUUUAUUUAGCAGUAUAAGUGCUUAUAGGAAUUCGGCAAAAAUUUUUCCUGCCUGUUUAUCAAAAACAUGUCUAUUUGGAGGUAUAAAAAGUUUGACCUGCCCACUGAUAAAGUUUUUUAAAGGGCCGCGGUAUCUUGACCGUGCAAAGGUAGCAUAAUCGCUUGGUUUUUAAUUGAGAUCUUGAAUGAAUGGUUUGACAAGGAAAAAUCUGUCUUUAUGUUUAAUAAUUGAAUUUAACUUUUAAGUGAAAAGGCUUAAAUAUAUUAAGGGGACGAUAAGACCCUAUAAAACUUUAUGAAAAGUUUAUAUUAAAUUGAAGUAAAGUUAAUGAAAAAUUUAGUAUAGAGUUUUAUUUUGUUGGGGCGACAUAUAUAAAAUGUUUAGUAACUGAAUGUAAUAAAAAGCAAAUAUAGGUGAUUUAAUGGUUAAAUGAUCCUUAUUAAGGAUUAUAAGUUUAAGUUACUUUAGGGAUAACAGCGUUAUUUUUUUUGAGAGUUCUUAUCGAAAAAAGAGUUUGCGACCUCGAUGUUGAAUUAAAAUUUCUA
rnacentral:rRNA from 1 species